AAACUUUUAGCUGUAAAAGUCCUGCAAAAGAUCACUUUGGGAGGGAGCAGAGUUUCUGUUGCUAAGAGAUUUAAGACCAGGCUAGGUAAGCCCUAUCAGCAAAGACGUACAUUUAGUGGAUCCUGUCUCAGGGCAAAGAGAGAGGCUUAAUGGCCUCCUCUCUUCAGAUUUAGCAUCUGAAUCUCUUCCCCUUGCUUGCUACUUCUGCAGCUCUGAAGCCUUUGCAGUUUAGCUCUGUUUGCAUAUAGAUUGAUCCUCCAGUUCUGGUGUCACCCAUAAGAAUUAUCUGUGAUUUAUUUAAUAUCCAAGAAACAUAUAAAAUAAUGAGGGAACAGUUGUUAAUCCUGAGAAUGUACCGAAAAAAGCCACUGAUUCAAAUUUUGAAGGUUAUACAAUCCUCAAGAAGCCCUGACCUGCACUGCAACCAGCUAGUAGGAAUUCCUAGAUCUUGGAAAGAGAUGCAUUUGUUAUUUCGUGGAAGGAAACUGCUUCAUUUGUUCCCUGAAAACUUUCCUAUACAUGUCCAUUUACCCACUGUCUUGCAGCUUCACAUCUAAGCAAACAAAAUGGAUGAAGGAUACAUCCCAAAUAGAAGAACAAUGAUUUGAGAUAUUUGCGUGUAUAGGUAACAAGCCAGGCAGGGAAAAAUCAGGCCCUAAGUCAUACCCUUCAUGAACACUUGCCUGUGCAGAGGCCAUGAUGUUGCUAAGAAAUCCACAGCAAGUGGAUGCUUGCCCUUAAGCAGGGUUUUCACACCUCAGAGUGGAUACACAGAGCUCACACGGGGCAGGCAGGUGCUUUAAUUCAAAGAGACUCUCGCUUCUCUUUUGCUGACUUUGCCGUUUUUUCCAGCAGAGCCCCUGUAGCACACUGAAAACGUCACAUGGAAGGCUCAGAACAGAAACAUGAUCCCAGGCUACACCCUUCAACCCUAAAACUAUUACCCUGUAUGGUACCACUACUGAUUGGGAUGCGCCUAGUGCAAACCCUGGAUCAGCAUCUUCCCAAGACACUUCCCACUGGACACUUGACUAUCCACCUCCUCGCAGAAGGCUCUCCUCCUCCCACACAUGUUCCUUGUGUGAAGAUUUACAUCCUAGACGCACAUGUCAAGCUCAGACCAUCAGAACAAUUUCAAAAAAGGCCAUCCCAGGUACAUGAAGCGCUGCCUGACAAAGUAGGUGCUAGAAACUCCUGGAGCUGGACGUGGCUGGGGAGACAGCCUCUGGCAAGCUCUAAGACUAGGGGCUGUAAUUAUGCCCCUCUCUUUAAAUCAGCAUGAAUGAUCCAGUCCACUAGCUUCUGCUUGGGACUUUGGCAAGUAAUGAAUGAAUCAGCUUUUAGCUACUGAGAUUAAGUACUCAAAAUCACACAGAGUUGGGGUGCAGCAAUCAGCCCCCUGAACAAAUAAGCAAUGUGUUCUAUAUUUUUCAUCCUAUAGUUCAAAGGGAACAUUGCUGUUGGCACUGUCGUACAGCUAUGAACCAAAUUGAUCCUCUAUAUACAAUAACAGUUCCUGUAAACUGUUACAGCCUAACCAUACAAGCUGUAAUAAAGCUGAUUUUAAUAACUACGCCCAGUGUCUUUAAGACUGAUAUAACAUGCAUUUUACCACAGUAAGUCAAACAGUCCAUUUAAUGGACAUUUUGUUCUUAUGGUAUCCCUCAUUUGGCGAGCUACAGCCUUCCCACACACUGCACAGCAACAUAAAAGCCUUCAGCAUUUACAGCAGAGUGCCCUACCUGCACGGCCAUGACCCACGAUGCUUAGGACUGGCUAAAAGGUAAAUGGCAGUAAAAAGAAGAGUGAGCUUCAACUCAUUUUGUGUAAACAAGCACAGAAGUACAUUCUCCCUAAAAAGCAGCAGGAGCAAACACUGAAUUUAUGUGACCAACUUGGUGAAUUCCCAUAGAAAUUCAACGGCAACUUUGUGUCUUUUAUCCCAAGCAAAAGUUUUGCUCACUAGAUCAGCAACCAAAAAUUGUCCAACCCCCCCCCCCCCCCCCCCCAAUAUUUAUAUGAGAAACAGGUUUUCUCCUCUUCUGUGCAAUGGCCGGGUUGUCUGCCAGUACUUUAAGGAGGCAGAGGAGGGAACAGAUUCUGAGCAUUAAGAGUAAACCCUCCAUUAGGGAGACCUGCAGCAUCAGAUAAUGUAAUCUAAAGCCAUCAGCAACUCUCUUGCAACAGAACAUCAAAAGAUCAUCUUCUCCAACUCUGAAAGACAAAUACCACAGGCUUGUCUUGACAUUUACACAGCAGGAUAAACUGUGAGAAACCUAACACAGUCCAGCAUCCUUGAUUUACAUUCAAGGCACAAUAGUAGUUCCUCCUCAUUGUUUUCUUUCACUGCUUGGGGGCAAAAAUUGACAGCAUGGAAGAGAACCCUACAAUGGCACUAAACAAAAACACUUGGGUUUUCAAAAAAGAAA